rnacentral:lncRNA from 1 species
UAACACCUUUGUAGUGCCUUCAUAUUGUCUUCGUAGUGUAAUAACACUUCUCUGGAAAAGAACAACCAUUCAUAGUGCUACUUAAAGAUGUGCUGCUCCUUCCUGACAGUUUUGCUGUUUUUUUGAGAAAGCAUAUCUGGUGUCUUUAAGCUCAUCCACCUGUCACUGUGCUCUUUCAGCAAUUACACAUCUGUCAAGUGUCACCCGGGCUUAGCUCUGACCGACAGGGUUAUGUCAAGCAGUCAGCCAUUACCCAAAUGGUUUAGAGUGGAGGGAUAGUAGGCACAUACUGCGGAAGAGUGAGCAUGGGUCAUUGUAACUGGGAGCUAGGGUUAGGUUAGGAGGGCCAGUGUAACUGGGAGCUAGGGUUAGGUUAGGAGGGCCAGUGUGACUGAGAGCUAGGGUUAUGUUAGGAGGGCCAGUGUGACUGGGAGCUAGGGUUAGGUUAGGAGGGCCAGUGUGACUGGGAGCUAGGGUUGUGUUAGGAGGGCCAGUGUGACUGGGAGCUAGAGUUGUGUUAGGAGGGCCAGUGUGACUGGGAGCUAGGGUUGUGUUAGGAGGGCCAGUGUGACUGGGAGCUAGGGUUGUGUUAGGAGGGCCAGUGUGACUGAGAGCUAGGGUUGUGUUAGGAGGGCCAGUGUGACUGAGAGCUAGGGUUGUGUUAGGAGCGCCAGUGUGACUGAGAGCUAGGGUUGUGUUAGGAGGGCCAGUGUGACUGGGAGCUAGGCUUGUGUUAGGAGCGCCAGUGUGACUGAGAGCUAGGGUUGUGUUAGGAGGGCCAGUGUGACUGGGAGCUAGGCUUGUGUUAGGAGCGCCAGUGUGACUGAGAGCUAGGGUUGUGUUAGGAGCGCCAGUGUGACUGGGAGCUAGGCUUGUGUUAGGAGGGCCAGUGUGACUGGGAGCUAGGCUUGUGUUAGGAGGGCCAGUGUGACUGAGAGCUAGGGUUGUGUUAGGAGGGCCAGUGUGACUGGGAGCUAGGGUUGUGUUAGGAGGGCCAGUGUGACUGGGAGCUAGGCUUGUGUUAGGAGGGCCAGUGUGACUGGGAGCUAGGGUUGUGUUAGGAGGGCCAGUGUGACUGGGAGCUAGGCUUGUGUUAGGAGCGCCAGUGUGACUGGGAGCUAGGCUUGUGUUAGGAGCGCCAGUGUGACUGAGAGCUAGGGUUGUGUUAGGAGGGCCAGUGUGACUGGGAGCUAGGGUUGUGUUAGGAGCGCCAGUGUGACUGGGAGCUAGGGUUGUGUUAGGAGGGCCAGUGUGACUGGGAGCUAGGGUUGUGUUAGGAGGGCCAGUGUGACUGGGAGCUAGGGUUGUGUUAGGAGGGCCAGUGUGACUGGGAGCUAGGGUUGUGUUAGGAGGGCCAGUGUGACUAGGAGCUAGGGUUGUGUUAGGAGGGCCAGUGUGACUGAGAGCUAGGGUUGUGUUAGGAGCGCCAGUUGACUGAGAGCUAGGGUUGUGUUAGGAGGGCCAGUGUGACUGGGAGCUAGGGUUGUGUUAGGAGGGCCAGUGUGACUGGGAGCUAGGCUUGUGUUAGGAGCGCCAGUGUGACUGAGAGCUAGGGUUGUGUUAGGAGCGCCAGUGUGACUGAGAGCUAGGCUUGUGUUAGGAGGGCCAGUGUGACUGGGAGCUAGGGUUGUGUUAGGAGGGCCAGUGUGACUGGGAGCUAGGGUUGUGUUAGGAGGGCCAGUGUGACUGGGAGCUAGGGUUGUGUUAGGAGCGCCAGUGUGACUGAGAGCUAGGGUUGUGUUAGGAGGGCCAGUGUGACUGGGAGCUAG